AGAUGGUUCAUCCUCUCAUCUC
rnacentral:misc_RNA from 1 species